CAGCACACACAGGACUAAGUUUAAUAGGCAUCUCAGGCCAUACAUUCCCCAGUCCCACUAUGGGAGGCCUAGUUAAACUUGAUUGACUCGGUUACC